UGAGGAAUAUUGCGCAAUGGGGGAAACCCUGACGCAGCAACGCCGCGUGAGUGAGGAAGGUUUUCGGAUUGUAAAGCUCUGUCGAGCGGAGAGAAAUGCAUUAUGGCUAAUAUCCAUGAUGCUUGACGGUACCGCUAAAGGAAGCACCGGCUAACUCCGUGCCAGCAGCCGCGGUAAUACGGGGGGUGCAAGCGUUGUUCGGAAUCAUUGGGCGUAAAGAGCGUGUAGGCGGCUUGAUAAGUCAGAUGUGAAAGCCCUGGGCUUAACCCAGGAACUGCGUUUGAGACUACUAGACUUGAAUUUGGAAGAGGUAAGUGGAAUUCCCAGUGUAGAGGUGAAAUUCGUAGAGAUUGGGAAGAACAUCCGUGGCGAAGGCGGCUUACUGGACCAACAUUGACGCUGAGGCGCGAAAGCGUGGGGAGCAAACA
rnacentral:rRNA from 1 species